CUACAGUUGUAGCUGACAACAAAGUCGGAGAAUGGAUUAAAACUAAAGAGCUGAAAGAAGUUAACAACAUGAAGCAGAAAGUCCCAUGCAGGAUGAUGCUUCUCUACAGUGGGUGAUGAAGGCAUGCUGGUUUACAAACUCAGGAGAGGAACAAAGAAGAGAUAUUGACGGGAUCAUAUCUAGAGAUGCGGGCCUACUACACUUCAUACGAGCAAGUGUGCUAAUAUACAUACAGGUACCCCAAUAAACUUUUGUGGAACACAUG